GAGUUUGAUCCUGGCUCAGAACGAACGCUGGCGGCAGGCCUAACACAUGCAAGUCGAGCGCCCAGCAAUGGGAGCGGCGGACGGGUGAGUAACGCGUGGGAAUUUUUCCUGGAGUACGGAACAACCGAGGGAAACUUCGGCUAAUACCGUAUGAUAUCGAGAGAUCAAAGAUUUAUCGCUCUGGGGUGAGCCCGCGUCAGAUUAGGUAGUUGGUGGGGUAACGGCCUACCAAGCCUGCGAUCUGUAGCUGGUCUGAGAGGACGAUCAGCCACACUGGGACUGAGACACGGCCCAGACUCCUACGGGAGGCAGCAGUGGGGAAUCUUGCGCAAUGGGCGAAAGCCUGACGCAGCCAUGCCGCGUGCGGGAAGAAGGCCUUCGGUUGUAA
rnacentral:rRNA from 1 species